rnacentral:rRNA from 1 species
UUGAACGCUGGCGGCAUGCUUUACACAUGCAAGUCGAACGGUAGAGGCUUCGGCCUUGAGAGUGGCGAACGGGUGAGUAAUGCAUCGGAACAUACCCAGUCGUGGGGGAUAACGUAGCGAAAGUUACGCUAAUACCGCAUACGUCCUGAGGGAGGAAGCGGGGGAUCUUCGGACCUCGCGCGAUUGGAGUGGCCGAUGUCAGAUUAGCUAGUUGGUGGGGUAAAGGCCCACCAAGGCGACGAUCUGUAGCGGGUCUGAGAGGAUGAUCCGCCACACUGGGACUGAGACACGGCCCAGACUCCUACGGGAGGCAGCAGUGGGGAAUUUUGGACAAUGGGCGCAAGCCUGAUCCAGCCAUGCCGCGUGCAGGAAGAAGGCCUUCGGGUUGUAAAGCUCUUUCGGACAGAAAGAAAUCGCACUGGUUAAUACCUUGUGUGGAUGACGGUACUGUAAGAAGAAGCACCGGCUAACUACGU